AACGAACGCUGGCGGCAGGCCUAACACAUGCAAGUCGAGCGAGGUAGCAAUACCUAGCGGCGGACGGGUGAGUAACGCGUGGGAACGUACCCUUUGCUACGGAAUAGCCCCGGGAAACUGGGAGUAAUACCGUAUGUGCCCUUCGGGGGAAAGAUUUAUCGGCAAAGGAUCGGCCCGCGUUGGAUUAGGUAGUUGGUGGGGUAAUGGCCUACCAAGCCGACGAUCCAUAGCUGGUUUGAGAGGAUGAUCAGCCACACUGGGACUGAGACACGGCCCAGACUCCUACGGGAGGCAGCAGUGGGGAAUCUUAGACAAUGGGCGCAAGCCUGAUCUAGCCAUGCCGCGUGAGUGAUGAAGGCCUUAGGGUUGUAAAGCUCUUUCAGAUGGGAAGAUAAUGACGGUACCAUCAGAAGAAGCCCGGCUAACUCCGUGCCAGCAGCCGCGGUGAAGUCGUACGAU
rnacentral:rRNA from 1 species